CACAUUCUUGUAUUUUUCCAGCUGACGGCCCAGAGGGUGGGUGCCAAUUCCACCAGCAGCUGCAACUGAAAAGCAAGGUUCAGAAAUGUCAGAUAUCCUCCGGGAGCUGCUCUGUGUCUCUGAGAAGGCUGCUAACAUUGCCCGGGCGUGCAGACAGCAGGAAGCCCUCUUCCAGCUGCUGAUCGAAGAAAAGAAAGAGGGAGAAAAGAACAAGAAGUUUGCAGUUGACUUCAAGACGCUGGCUGAUGUACUGGUACAGGAAGUUAUAAAACAGAAUAUGGAGAACAAGUUUCCAGGCUUGGAAAAAAAUAUUUUUGGAGAAGAAUCCAAUGAGUUUACUAAUGACUGGGGUAAGUAUAAGAAUCUUAAUGUGCCUUUGUAAUUUAAUUAUCAUAUGGUAUUCUAGUCUCCAGUUUAUACCAUGAACUAAAUGUUUGGAAGCCAUUACUGUAAACAACAUAAUAUUUGAAUGUUAAGGUUCAUUCAAUUUCUACCUCAGAAUAUCAUGCCAUUUAACUUAAGUAGAGAGAUGUGGUAUCUUAGAAUAAUUUAGCAAGUCCAUGUAUCAUUUUAGAUAUAAAUCUGUGGCAUUUAAGUAACUUAUAAUCAAGCUUUGGGAAAAUUGCAUGGCCCUUUGGGAUCUAAUGUAAGUUAUUAAUGCCCCA
rnacentral:sRNA from 1 species